ACGUAGGGUGCAAGCGUUAAUCGGAAUUACUGGGCGUAAAGCGUGCGCAGGCGGUUUUGUAAGACAGAGGUGAAAUCCCCGGGCUCAACCUGGGAACUGCCUUUGUGACUGCAAGGCUGGAGUGCGGCAGAGGGGGAUGGAAUUCCGCGUGUAGCAGUGAAAUGCGUAGAGAUGCGGCGGAACACCGAUGGCGAAGGCAGCCCCCUGGGCUGAGAUUGACGCUCAGGCACGAAAGCGUGGGGAGCAAACAGGA
rnacentral:rRNA from 1 species